rnacentral:rRNA from 1 species
UACAGAGGUCCCAAGCGUUGUUCGGAUUCACUGGGCGUAAAGGGUGCGUAGGCGGUUUUGUAAGUCUGACGUGAAAUCUCCGGGCCUAACCCGGAAACUGCGUUGGAUACUAUAUGACUAGAGGAAUGGAGGGGAGACUGGAAUACUUGGUGUAGCAGUGAAAUGCGUAGAUAUCAAGUGGAACACCAGUGGCGAAGGCGAGUCUCUGGACAUUUCCUGACGCUGAGGCACGAAAGCCAGGGGAGCAAACGGG